AUGCGCGCAAUUCAUUUUUGUUUUGUUUUUUUUUUUUUUUUUUUUAUCAUUGCUCUCAAUCCCGUGAAUGUGCCAUGUGCAUCUUAUCGCGUGUUUUUUUCGCGAUGCGUGCGUGUUCAAAUUUUUUGUAUCAAAAAAAAAAAAAAAACUGCGAAUAUAUUUUGUGAUUCAAGUGGAGCAACAAAGUUCUCACCAAGUUGAUGACUUUACAGUGUUGCGUUGGGAAACAAUAAUUUCCCAACCACAAAUAAAACGAAAAUAACAGCUCGAAAGGACUUUCCGAUACGAAAGUUUUAUAUACGUUUGGACGAAAAAAAAAACCUUAUCUCUUUUUAACGUCUCUGAUGAUGGAAACGAUAACGCACCGACUCUUUUUUGUAAUCCGACAAUUCGUAUUAUCUAAUCGCGAAGCGUAUCGAGAGAUAAUAGAUAAAGUUCAUAUCUUUAUCAAUUAUUACACGCAUAACGUUAAACCAGAUGCAAUCAAUUUGUUGUUUUUAUUUAUGUUGGAAAACACUUUUUAUAUUGACUCAUGCAUGAUGCAUUGUUUGUUUGUUUGCUUGUUCGCCUCGCGGAUUAAGUAAAAUCUCGGUGUAACAAUCGCGCGACCUUCUUACAAAUUUUUUGUGGAUAAAAAAGAAAAAUUUGCAACACAAUUUUUUGAACUCUCUGUACGUGUGUAAUAAUGUUGGCUUAUUUCGGAAGAUAAACGACGUGAUUCGGUUUCUGGCGGUUUAUUUCGAUAAGUUAUCGAUUUCUCAAUGUCGUUUCGCGCGAUGAUAAAUUGAAGAUAUGUACAACAACGACGACGACGACGACGACGACGAUGACGAUUAAUUCGAACAUACCGGAUUUAUCGUGUCACCGAUGCGUAAUAUUUACGAGCACGUAAUAUAUUCAGCUUUCCAAUUGUUUUCAAUGUGAAAAUUAAUCGAAUCAAUUAGUCGAUUUAAUAAACUCAAUUACUGCAAAGUGGAAUGUGUACGACGGGUAGAUUGUAGAAUAAGCAAGAGUUGUACAUACAAAAGCAAUAUAUUUGCUUAUAUUUGAAUUUUUCUGAGACACACACACACACACACAUGCGAUUCUCGUGAUAUUGUAAUUAUAUUCAGUUUUCAGCACCGAACAAUGCGCGCGCCGCGAUUUCUUUUCACGGAAUCAUAUUCCACAAUGAAACCUAUAACAAUUCCGAUUGUCUGCAAGACGCAUAACGUAGUGUGCGGGAAAAAACAGAUCGCCAAUAAAAAAAAACAAAAAAAAAAUUGUUAAAUAUCGCUAAAACGUGACACGUCAGAUUGACAAAAGUAGUAAAAAUAGAGCAAGUUGAUUUCACGAGCCGUGUGUGUAUAUUUAUAUCCUUUGUAAUUUUAGCCAACCGCCUUGUCGCAAGAAGUCGGUGCGAACAAUGCACAACGCACGUACGUGCGUUAAAAACACGCGAAAUAUUUGUAACAAAAAUGAUAUAAUUUACUUUAUGCGAAAGAAAUAACGACGAUGAAACAAAUCAAUGUGUAUGGAAACAAGUAACAUCUCGACGUUACACUGUGUGUGAUACCGCAAACAACGACCUCAAUCCGAACGCGAUGUUUUUCCUUUCACUUUUCAUUCCCUUCGUUUUUUUUUUUUUUUUUUAUCUGGUUUCCAGCACGAGGAAACGUUCAACGUGCGCCACGUGAAAAAUCACAUUAGCAUACAUUUGACAUACAUUUGACGAGGAAGGUUUUGAAAAGUAGAGCGUGAUAAACGUGACUUGCAAAUCUAAAACAAAAAAAAA